rnacentral:sRNA from 1 species
GAGCCGAUUUGUAGUGAGGAGUAUCUGAAGGGGGCGAGGCCGGCCCAUGUGGGGUUGUGUCAUUGGUUUGCAAAGAGAGACCCCGCCUUUGCCCCCCCCCAAAAAAAGGAGCGAGGAGUGAGCGAGCGGCGACCCUCACCUCGCCUCCCGCCUCGCUCCUGCGCAGCCGGCGGGCACCGGGAGCUGCGGCCAGCGCCGCUUCUUUCCUUUCCUUUUCUCUCCGUUUUCCUCCUCCUUCCCCGGAGGAGAAAACAAAUAAAGAAGAGCAAAUAGCCGGGAGGCGCUCGGCAUCCAGGACGUUCCCUCCCCCGAUCCAAGUUGGAAUUAGCAUCCUCUCGGGGGUGGCUCGGGAGCGGCCCGGAGGAGCCGGCGGCGGCCCGAGGAGCGAGGGACCGAACCGGGAGCCAUGCCGCGCUGAGGGGGGGCCGCACAGCCGCCGCCACCGCCACCGCCGCCGGGUGGGGUGGGAGGGGCGGGAGCCGCCGCCGCCGCCGCCUCCAGGGUGGGCGCCUUUCGCCGUGGACGCCGACCGUCCGGGAAGAGGCUUCAUAGUGGCGUCAUGCACGCAGACUCCUGCGAGUUCCCCUAAGUUCUUAGAGGACUGCUUUGCCUUUUGAUCUGAGAGUUGCAAAGUUCCAUAAAGAAUGGCCCUUGUGGAUAAGCACAAAGUCAAGAGACAGCGAUUGGACAGAAUUUGUGAAG